GGGUAAGAUCAUACCAGCACUAAUCCACCGGAUCCCAUCAGAACUCCGCAGUUUAAGCGUGCUUGGGCGAGAGUAGUACUAGGAUGGGUAACUUGGUGAGAAGUCCUCGUGCUGCACC
rnacentral:rRNA from 1 species